GUUACAGUCAUCGACUAAAUUUGUCUGUCUGUGACACUCUUUCUAACGUUGAAAAUAAUAACAUGUUAUCUGUUGUUUCUCAAGCUGCCAAUUUUAUCAACAUAUCACAGACACGCAACAUACCCUUUGCUGAGCACGUUAAAAAGUCAGAUGUUCAGACCAAGAAGGCAAAACUGGUACACUACCAAUCACCUCAUGUGAAUGUGAGAGAUCAAUUUCAGCACUGAGGAAUCUAAAAACCUACCAAAGGAGCACUAUGGUAGAGGAACGUUUAAAUGGCCUGGCUUUAAUGCGAAUUCACCCAGAAAUUAUUCCUGACAUAGAAAGAGUGAUCAAUAAGUUUGCUGAAGGUAAUACACGUUUGAAAUUUG